UGUAUCCCUUAUAUAGAGAAACCUUCUACAAACCUUUCGUAAUUCGAUUUGAAUUAGUCACCACAUUCCUUAUUUAAUUUGAAUUAGUCAUCCAUAUGUAUCAUAAUUUAAUUCAACUUGAAUAAUUCAAAUCGCAUCUAGAUUUAACUUAUUCAACUCUAAUUUGUAAUUAAAUCAAACAUAUGGUUAAUUUCAAAUCAAACACAAAAAAUUACUCUCACUUCCCUUUAAUUAGGGAUAUUAGUAUUUUAAAAUUAAAUACCAAUAAAAUUUCAACAAUUGUUACUUUGAAUUUAGAUCUCGUAUUUACUUUUAAUAAUCUUUUGCCACACGUACAUUUAUAGUAUAUAGUUAACCGUUAAGAUUUAAUUAUAACUAUCUUUCCAAAAAAGAUUAGUACAGAAAUUAGAUCAGCGCUUAAUCUUUAUCCUGCUGCAUUGUAGUCAACGAUCAAAUCAACAAAACAUUUCGCCCUUUUCCACUGCAUGCUUUAAGAGAAAGCUAAAUAACUAAAUAAAAGGGGGCACCAGCUACUCAACUACAUUAUAUGUACUGCAGUCAUUUACAUCCUCAAGUAAUUCUUAUAUAUAGUCAUUGCAACUGUAUAUUAUUAGUACAUAUUAUUAGUAUAUAUGGACAUAUAUAUUGACAGUUUGGUACUUGUAGAUUUUGUAGGUACCUGCGUUCUUAUUAUAGUAGCAAGUAACAUUUUUCUUCAGAAAGAUCAAAAGUACCUUUCAAUUUUGAUGCAUAGUGCAAGGAACUAUUUAAAAACCUUUUCAAAGUUAACGGUGAUCUAUCUGCGAAGUUUUUAAAAAUUUAAGAAAUGGGACCUAUCUGCAAGAUUCCCAAGUUGAUGGACUAAUUUAAAACUUUACAAAGUUUUACGCGAAACGAUAAAUCGGUUGAGAGAAAUGGCCCAUCGACUGGGGGAGAAAGGCCCAAUUUUCAGUUUUAUCACAUAUUUUUCUAUAAUUCAUAAAAUCUUCUUGUCUCCUUGACAUCAAAACUUUAAGCUAGGAGUAUUCUGAAUCUAAUUCAGUUCGAUCCACUCAAUUUAUCAGAUCUGUAAAAAUUCAAUACGUGAAUUGGUGGAUUAGAUUAGGUUGAAAAUUAAAAAAUCUAUAGUUGAUUGCUUAUAUAUGGAUUUACUUCUUUAAAUCCGCAAAAAUUCGCGAAUCCACAAAAAAAAUAAAAAAUACUUAUUUAAUUAUAAAUAAAACUUGUAAAUGUGUCAUUAA
rnacentral:lncRNA from 1 species